ensembl:lncRNA
GUACAUCAAAUGUAGAAAUAUGUCAGCCUCUUCAGACUUCAUUUAUAGUACUUUCCUGUUGCUAUGGCAAAAUAGAAUGAUUCGCCUUUCUAAAAGCCAAGGAGAGAAACAGAACAUUUAUUGUACAUGGGUUACUUUAUAUUAGAGAAAGACAGGGGCAUCACAAGAAAAGAGCUGCACAGUAGCAUUGUUCUUAUGAUCAUGUUUAAUAAUACAUUUUUUUUCCUUCAGUUUAGUUGCUAACCAUUCAUUGAACCAGACUCACCAGUUUUGAUAACGAUGUUGUUAGGUUGAAGAUUUUAGAUUGAUAGAUGGUUGGUUUGGAGGUUGGAAUGGUGAAUAUUUCUGUUGGUUACUAGAAUGUUAGCUUUUAUUACUAGCAUACACAGUUCAUUUGUUUUCUCAUUCAUCACAGCAGAAAACACUUGUCCCUUUUUUUAGGAACUCAUCUGAGGUCAUCUAAGUAUGCAGUAUGUAUGGGCUCUGAUCAUCCUCCUUUGGGCUUCGUCCAACAGGUCCAUUGUUGUGUUGGGGGCCCAAGAGCUGGAUGCAGUACUCCAGGUGGGGUCUCAUGAGAGCAGAGUAGAGGGAGAGAAUUACCACCCUUGACCUGCUGGUUACGCUCCUUUUGAUGCAGCCCAGGAUACAGUUGGCUUUCUGGGCUGAAGGUGCACACUGCUGGGUCAUGAGGGUUCGGUCAGAUGAAGGUAGGUCAAAGAUUUACUCAGAUAAUACUCAGAUACUUCAAAAGAAGGGGUUGGAAUUAAAGAUCUGCAGGUGAGGCAUGACCUGGUCUCGAGCUUUCUUAAAAAUACUCUUUGCACUCCUACUCAAGUAGUUCAAUGGCCAGAGAAACAACAGUCAUUUAAUUAAUUUAAUUUUAAAGCCAAUCUACAGCAAGAUUUUUUUGGCCAAAUAUAUUGUUACUGAUGAUUCUCUGCUGGUUAGCUUAACCCAGUCUGAGCUUUAUAACACAGCUAAUAAAGUAGUUGGGUUUAACUAGCCCCUAGUAGUUCUAUUAUACUGCACUUCAUCUGUGUAGACUUACAUUUAUGCUUACAAACUUGGUGGUGGCAAUUCCUGCUGCUGCACAAUCAAGUAUGAUUUAAUAUAAAAAGAAAAACAGGUCUGUAGGCUGAAGGCUUAGUCACAUAAUUUAGAUAUAAUUUCAUUUGUUAAACAACUCAGUGAGCUUUGCAGUAAAACAAACUAGAAUUUGAUUACUUACUAUUACUAAAUGUAAUUUAACCUUAUUUAGGAAAGAGCCUCUCUGUAAUGCUUUGCUAAAGCUGAAUAAAUUAAAAUGCUACUGUUGCUCCCAUGACUGUGUCAUUUAAUUUGCAAUCCACUUUCAUACUAGCUAUUUUAAGCAUAAUUGUAUAACAUGCUAUAUCAAUUUUAUAGUAAAAUGAAACUAUCUGUAGCUGUUAUGUUAUAGGGGAAGUUGGUAAUUGUUGUCUUGUGGGAUUCUUUUCAGCUCUUGUUUUCAUAUCAGUAAUGGCAGCUGUCCUUUGAUUUAGAUCAAAGCAAGAACAAAAGCUUCUUAGAAGCGAGAGUCACGUGAAAA